UCAUGGCUCAGGACGAACGCUGGCGGCGUGCUAAUACAUGCAAGUCGAGCGGACAGAAGGGAGCUUGCUCCCGGAUGUUAGCGGCGGACGGGUGAGUAACACGUGGGUAACCUGCCUGUAAGACUGGGAUAACUCCGGGAAACCGGAGCUAAUACCGGAUAGUUCCUUGAACCGCAUGGUUCAAGGAUGAAAGACGGUUUCGGCUGUCACUUACAGAUGGACCCGCGGCGCAUUAGCUAGUUGGUGAGGUAACGGCUCACCAAGGCGACGAUGCGUAGCCGACCUGAGAGGGUGAUCGGCCACACUGGGACUGAGACACGGCCCAGACUCCUACGGGAGGCAGCAGUAGGGAAUCUUCCGCAAUGGACGAAAGUCUGACGGAGCAACGCCGCGUGAGUGAUGAAGGUUUUCGGAUCGUAAAGCUCUGUUGUUAGGGAAGAACAAGUGCAAGAGUAACUGCUUGCACCUUGACGGUACCUAACCAGAAAGCCACGGCUAACUACGUGCCAGCAGCCGCGGUAAUACGUAGGUGGCAAGCGUUGUCCGGAAUUAUUGGGCGUAAAGGGCUCGCAGGCGGUUUCUUAAGUCUGAUGUGAAAGCCCCCGGCUCAACCGGGGAGGGUCAUUGGAAACUGGGAAACUUGAGUGCAGAAGAGGAGAGUGGAAUUCCACGUGUAGCGGUGAAAUGCGUAGAGAUGUGGAGGAACACCAGUGGCGAAGGCGACUCUCUGGUCUGUAACUGACGCUGAGGAGCGAAAGCGUGGGGAGCGAACAGGAUUAGAUACCCUGGUAGUCCACGCCGUAAACGAUGAGUGCUAAGUGUUAGGGGGUUUCCGCCCCUUAGUGCUGCAGCUAACGCAUUAAGCACUCC
rnacentral:rRNA from 1 species